GAAGUAAAAGUCGUAACAAGGUUUCCGUAGGUGAACCUGCGGAAGGAUCAUUACAGAGUUCAUGCCCUCACGGGUAGAUCUCCCACCCUUGUGUAUUCUAUAACAGUUGCUUUAGCGGGCCACGGGCCUGCCCGUGACCCGCUAGAGGACCCCAAACUCUGAAUUUUAGUGUCGUCUGAGUACUAUACAAUAGUUAAAACUUUCAACAACGGAUCUCUUGGUUCUGGCAUCGAUGAAGAACGCAGCGAAAUGCGAUAAGUAAUGUGAAUUGCAGAAUUCAGUGAAUCAUCGAAUCUUUGAACGCACAUUGCGCCCCCUGGUAUUCCGGGGGGCAUGCCUGUUCGAGCGUCAUUUAAACCACAUCUAGCUCUGCUAGGUCUUGGGCCACGCUACCCGGCGGGCCUUAAAACCAGUGGCGGUGCCGCCAGGCUCUAAGCGUAGUAAUUCUCUCGCUAUAGGCCCUGGCGGAUGCUAGCCAGCAACCCCAAAUUUUUCAGGUUGACCUCGGAUCAGGUAGGGAUACCCGCUGAACUUAAGCAUAU
rnacentral:sRNA from 1 species